rnacentral:tRNA from 2 species
AGUAUUGUGCCAGAUAAGUGGGUUGCUUUGAUGUGGCAAAAAUGGGAUCUAUUCUCCGAUACUU